GGCUUGGUAGUGGAUUGUCCACACCUGCAACCCGUAUUCGUUAUAUAAUGCAGGAGGAGCACGUUCGAUUCGUGCCCGAGCCC